rnacentral:rRNA from 1 species
CCUACGGGAGGCAGCAGUGGGGAAUAUUGGACAAUGGGCGAAAGCCUGAUCCAGCAAUGCCGCGUGAGUGAUGAAGGCCUUAGGGUUGUAAAGCUCUUUUACCAGGGAUGAUAAUGACAGUACCUGGAGAAUAAGCUCCGGCUAACUCCGUGCCAGCAGCCGCGGUAAUACGGAGGGAGCUAGCGUUGUUCGGAAUUACUGGGCGUAAAGCGUACGUAGGCGGUUAUUCAAGUCAGAGGUGAAAGCCUGGAGCUCAACUCCAGAACUGCCUUUGAAACUAGAUAGCUAGAAUCUUGGAGAGGUGAGUGGAAUUCCGAGUGUAGAGGUGAAAUUCGUAGAUAUUCGGAAGAACACCAGUGGCGAAGGCGACUCACUGGACAAGUAUUGACGCUGAGGUACGAAAGCGUGGGGAGCAAACAGGAUUAGAUACCCUGGUAGUCCACGCCGUAAACGAUGAUAACUAGCUGUUCGGGCUCUACGAGCUUGUAGUGGCGCAGCUACGACAUUAAGUUAUACCGUCCGUCGGGAGGUACGGUCGGCGAAGAAUUAAAACGUUAAAACGUUAAGUAAGUUAGUACGGACGUGAGACGUAGCCGAACGGACGACGACGAGGGAGGUAGG